rnacentral:rRNA from 1 species
GCAAGGAAUCUUGCGCAAUGGGCGAAAGCCUGACGCAGCGACGCCGCGUGGGGGAUGAAGGCCUUAGGGUUGUAAACCCCUUUUCUCGGGGAAGAAUAAUGACGGUACUCGAGGAAUAAGUCACGGCUAACUACGUGCCAGCAGCCGCGGUAAUACGUAGGUGGCAAACGUUAUCCGGAUUUACUGGGCGUAAAGAGGGCGCGGGCGGCACCUUAAGUCGGGUGUGAAAUCUCCUGACUCAAUCAGGAUAGGUCAUCCGAUACUGGGGAGCUUGAGGGCAGCAGAGGGAGAUGGAAUUCCCGGUGUAGUGGUGAUAUGCGUAGAUAUCGGGAGGAACACCAGUGGCGAAGGCGGUCUCCUAGGCUGUUCCUGACGCUGAGGCCCGAAAGCGUGGGGAGCAAACCGGAUUAGAUACCCCGGUAGUCC